rnacentral:lncRNA from 1 species
AGUAAACAAACAAUACUGUCUACAAUUGCUUAUUAACUCCACUUUUCACCACUCAGGGUGUUGUUUCACACUGCUGCUGCCUCAGAGCAAAGCACUUGGUAUUGUAACUGCUUCAGCCUCUCCCGGUCAGCACUCCACAAACAGAAGCAGUGUUUCUUAAAAGCCCAUGUUUUCUAAGGCCACUAGAAGAUAAUCUGCCAGAAGAUGUGUAAUAGGUGUCGUCAUCGGCUGUCGUUAAAUAGCACUAUUGAUCUUGUGUAUCCACUGUGCGUGCUCUUGGCCUCUUCCACCUCAGGUUCCCUGUUGUGGUGACUGUGGGUGUCGCUGCGCCCACGUGUGAACACCGAGGUCUGCUGCUCACGCCUAUCCUGGGGAAGUUUCCAGUGGCUCACAACGACGAGGAACUUUGCGUGUAAUCUCUGAUGAUGAGAGUGUCAUAUUUGGGAGAGGAUGGGAUGCAGAGGGCCGAUUCAGAGACCGGAGAGUUUGGGGUGGUGCUCCCCGAGUCCACCGAGUCCCUGAAGGGCGAUGGCGGAGUGAGGGCCACCAGCUCCUCCAGGUCCGGUUUGCCUGGGGCAGCCUCAGCUCCUGCGGGCGUCUCCUGGGCAGGUGAUGCCCCUGCGGCCUGCUGAGCUCCUCCGGUCACCUCGAUGGCCGGCAGCGGCUGGAUCUCCGCGAAGGUCGUCAUGGUCGUGGGCAGCUGGAUCUCUUUGGGAAUCAGGUGCUGCCCCCGGCUGCUCUUCUCAUUCUGGGCCCAUGUCACGGAUUUCCCGUUGGAGCUGCGAAGAGAAGAGAGGGAAGGGUGAGUCAGCAUGUGUCCUACCAGCCU